rnacentral:lncRNA from 1 species
AAACUCACACCUCCUAAAUGAUACUAAUUCUACUUCUAUCCUUUGUACAUCUUGGCUUUCCUUUAUAUUUUCUCUUCAUUCUUUGCUGCUAAGGUAAGAUCUUAAGGUAGAUAUCUCAAUCUAUCUUCCAGCUCUCAUUAUCUAACUUCUAUAGUUUUCUGUUUUAAGCAGAUACUGUGAAUUAACUCUGUAAAUUAAUUAUUGCUAUAGUCUGCCUUCACUGAACAGCUUAUUUGUAAACGUAAAAUUAA